CUUUGACGCGGGGGACCUUCACACUGAGCAAGUGCAGUGUGAAAAAGCCUCAACUCCUCGACGAGGUCUCUGCUGUAGGGAGUUAAUGUGUAAACAGAGAAGCAGGGACAGAGGAGGGUGCCAGUGUUGAAACUUUGUGCUGGUCGACUGAUCGAGUCUGAUUCUCAAUAAACCUCAAUCAUAAUACCACAGCGGAAGCUUAAAAACUCCACUGUGACACAGUAAAACUGACAAACAGUCAAACACACAUAUACAAAAUGGAAACACUCACAAGCAGCUGCAUUAGCGCAAACCUCAAACCCAGAGGCUCACAGAGACUAACGUGCCAUGACGUGACAUCACUUGACAUCACUCACCAGGGCAUGCCUCCUGAAAAGGCACACAGCUCAGACUGACUGGCGACCAAUCCAGGGCAUGGUCCACUUUUCGUCCAAAUUCAGCUGGGAUAGGAUCAAGCCCCCUAUGACCCUAAAAAUGGAUGCAUGGCUGGCGUGUGGUCAGGUGUGCUGAGCUCUUGACGCAGCUGUGCCCCAUUACUCAUCACCCUCUGUAUUUAACCUCCGGUCUGACUUCCACGCCUCACCAGAACGUCCUCGUUACUGUCGCAUUCAGUAUAUAUGUGGGUUCAACAGACAGCAAGAAGUUGAUCUUUUUCCUGCAGUUCUUUGUUUUCUUCUUCUCCUCU